GACGAACGCUGGCGGCGUGCUUAACACAUGCAAGUCGAACGGAAAGGUGCUGCUUUUGCGGGGCGCUCGUGUGGCGAACGGGUGAGUAACACGUGAGUAUACUGCCCUUGUCUUUGGGAUAACAUCAGGGAACUGGGGCUAAUACCGGAUAGGAGCUACUGCUGCGUGGUGGGGGAUGGAAAGUUUCGGCGGUGGGGGAUGGUCUCGCGGCUUAUCAGCUUGUUGGUGGGGUAGUUGAUUACCAAGGCUUAGACGGGUAGCCGGCCUGAGAGCGUGACCGGCCACCUGGCGACUGAGAUACGGCGCAGACGCCUACGGGAGGCAGCGGUGGGGAAUAUUGCACAAUGAGCGGAAGCCUGAUGCAGCAGCGCUGCGUGCGUGAUGACGGCCUUCGGGUUGUGAACCGAUUUCGCCUGUGACGAAGCGUUAGUGACGGUAAUGGGUAAAGAAGCACCGGCUAACUACGUG
rnacentral:rRNA from 1 species